rfam:Schistosoma margrebowiei strain Zambia genome assembly, scaffold: SMRZ_scaffold0000089
ACCCUGCUGAUGAGUUACAAAUAGGACGAAACGCGUGUCCUGGAU